CUUCCAAGAAGCUGAAGGACACAGAAGGUCAUCAGCAGUCAGGAAGCAUGUGCAGGUCUAAUGGAGGCUUUGGCAUGAGGUUGCUGAGGAAGAAAACCCAUGAAUGGUUGUAUCCAGCACUGGACCCUGUAUUCUACGAUACUGACUUGUCAGGUAGGAUGUACCUACCGAUGCAACAGUGGCACAGGAAUUAUGAAGACCUGGGCUGCUCUCAGUCACGGUUAGAGAAGCUUCUUUCUGCACUUGGCAGCAGUCAACGGAGUGAUGCAUGACUCAAAGUUCUGACAAUAAGAGAUUUAGUGUUCAUCCCCAAAGGCCAUCGAUCUCAUCCUUUCCACUUAUCUUAUGAAAGAUAACUGGCAUGAAGGAACUUUCCUGGCCAGUUAAAUAUAGACUUCUGUGCUCUCCAAUCAAAGUGACUUGAG